GCUUGGUCUUCUUCUAAGAUUGUUUGUUCAUUCCAUAAAAUGAAGAUAAUUGGGGGUCUGCUGACCAGGAAUGAGAGGGUUAAGUAAAGACACUACACUUCACUAGGCUUGCCUGGCGCCAUGGCAACACUUCCUGUACAUAUGUUCUUCAUAGCACUAUGUACUUUAGGAGCUCAGUCUGGGAAGUAAGGGCAAAGGGACAUGAAGCCAAGCCAGGAAGCACUCAGGAGCCCUUAACCACUCUUUAAGAUCAUCACUGAAGAACAGUAGCUGGCAAAAGACUGCACUGCAACUAGUGUUCAUUUGAAUGGCCAGAUGAUCUCCUUCACAGCUCAUCUCUAGAUGCGUCAUUGUCACUGGAAACUUCAGGAGACUCUGAGUUCGGAGCCAUCGAUGAGUCAUUAAAGUCUCAAGCAGAAGAACCUCACAGCAGAUGCGAUCUUCCUACCCUCGCAUCUUUUUAGCAUCCAGGGAUCAAGCACCAUUUGGAGACACCAAGCAGAUCUUGCCAGGCCUCUUCGCUUAUGCACAAAGCUGAUCACCCUUGCUGUUACAGGGAAGCCUAAUUAUCUGUGUAAUAAAUGAAUUUUACUUUCAAGGCA